rnacentral:tRNA from 1 species
GGAAGCGUGGCCGAGCGGUUUAAGGCACCGGUCUUGAAAACCGGCGAGGGCUUACCCCCUCCGUGAGUUCGAAUCUCACCGCUUCCGCCA